rnacentral:rRNA from 1 species
CAGUCGCCGCGGGAAUACGUAGGGUGCGAACGUUAAUCGGAAUUACUGGGCGUAAAGCGUGCGCAGGCGGUUCGUUAAGACAGAUGUGAAAUCCCCGGGCUUAACCUGGGAACUGCAUUUGUGACUGGCGAGCUAGAGUAUGGCAGAGGGGGGUAGAAUUCCACGUGUAGCAGUGAAAUGCGUAGAGAUGUGGAGGAAUACCGAUGGCGAAGGCAGCCCCCUGGGCCAAUACUGACGCUCAUGCACGAAAGCGUGGGGAGCAAACAGGAUUAGAUACCCCUGUAGUCCCUGUCUCUUAUAC